AUGGCUUCAUCGGCGGUGAGCCACAGCCACGGCGGGCAGCACCAGCACCAGCUGCCGGCGUCUGGGAGCAUGAUGGCGCGGGUGGACAGGCUGGACCUGGUGGUGGGGUACCUGGAGGAGCUGCGCCACCACAGCGGCGGCAGCGGCAGGUCGUCCACCACCGCGACCAGCACCCUGUCAUCGUCGUCUCCGACCACGCCUCGGUCGUCUCGGCCUCACGGGUGCCGGCCGGCGGAGGAGCUGCUGCGGGAGGCCAAGGCCAAGGGCAGCCUGGUGGAGCGCAUCGCGUUCCUGGAGGACCGCGUGCUCCGGAUGGAGGAGGAGCGCAUGGAGCUGUCGUCGUCGAGCAUGCUUGACACGGCGGAUCAGACCACGCCGACCUCCGGCGGGGCUGGGGAUGAGCAUGGGAGUGGUGGGAGCGGGAGGAAGGGGAAGAAGGGGCUCAAGAGCUUGGUCAAGUCGUGCGUCCGAGCAGGCGCCAAGCUCAAGACCAAGGAAUAG
rnacentral:rRNA from 1 species